rnacentral:rRNA from 1 species
UACGUAGGGGGCUAGCGUUGUCCGGAUUUAUUGGGCGUAAAGAGCUCGUAGGCGGUUCGAUAAGUCGGACGUGAAAUCUCCACGCUCAACGUGGAGGGGCCGUUCGAUACUGUCGUGACUCGAGUCCGGUAGGGGAGUGUGGAAUUCCCGGUGUAGCGGUGAAAUGCGCAGAUAUCGGGAGGAACACCAAUGGCGAAGGCAGCUCGCUGGGACGGUACUGACGCUGAGGCGCGAAAGCGUGGGGAGCAAACAGG